rnacentral:rRNA from 1 species
AGAAUCAACGCUGGCGGCGUGCCUAACACAUGCAAGUCGAACGAGAAAGUGGAGCAAUCCAUGAGUAAAGUGGCGCACGGGUGAGUAACACGUGACUAACCUACCUUUUAGUGGGGGAUAACCUAGGGAAACCUGGGCUAAUACCGCAUAAUACCUACGGGUCAAAGCAGCAAUGCGCUGAAAGAGGGGGUCGCGGUCGAUUAGUUAGUUGGCAGGGUAAUGGCCUACCAAGACUGUGAUCGAUAUCCGGCCUGAGAGGGCGCACGGACACACUGGAACUGAAACACGGUCCAGACUCCUACGGGAGGCAGCAGUGGGGAAUUUUGCGCAAUGGGGGAAACCCUGACGCAGCAACGCCGCGUGGAGGAUGAAGUCCCUUGGGACGUAAACUCCUUUCGAUCGGGACGAUAAUGACGGUACCGGAAGAAGAACGCCCGGCUAACUUCGUGCCAGCAGCCGC